rnacentral:rRNA from 1 species
AAAAUACGAUAGUACUCGGAGUCUUCGGACAAAGAGAUAGUGCGCCUAAGGGCUUCCAAGAAAAACCUCUAAACUUCAGGUAAUUAGUACCAGUACCGUAAACCGACACAGGUAGUUGAGGAGAGAAUCCUAAGGUGCUCGAGAGAUUCAUGGCUAAGGAAUUAGGCAAAAUAGACCUGUAACUUCGGGAGAAAGGUCGCCAGCGCAAGCUGGCCGCAGUGAAGAGGUCCAGGCGACUGUUUAUCAAAAACACAGGGCUCUGCAAAAUCGUAAGAUGAAGUAUAGGGCCUGACACCUGCCCGGUGCUGGAAGGUUAAGAGGAGAUGUUAUCUUCGGAGAAGCAUUGAAUUGAAGCCCCAGUAAACGGCGGCCGUAACGAUAACGGUCCUAAGGUAGCGAAAUUCCUUGUCGGGUAAGUUCCGACCUGCACGAAUGGUGUAACGAUCUGGACACUGUCUCAGCCAUGAGCUCGGUGAAAUUGUAGUAACGGUGAAGAUGCCGUUUACCCGCAGUGGGACGAAAAGACCCUGUGCACCUUUACUAUAGCUUAGUAUUGACCUUGGAUAAAUGAUGUGUAGGAUAGGUUGGAGACUGUGAAGUGGCGUCGCCAGGCGUUGUGGAGUCAUUGUUGAAAUACAACCCUUUGUUUAUCUGAGGCCUAACCCCGUUUUGCGGGGGACAUUGCUUGGUGGGUAGUUUGACUGGGGUGGUCGCCUCCAAAAGAGUAACGGAGGCUUCUAAAGGUUCCCUCAGUACGCUUGGUAACCGUGCGUAGAGUGCAAUGGCAUAAGGGAGCUUGACUGAGAGACAUACAGGUCGAUCAGGUACGAAAGUAGAGCAUAGUGAUCCGGUGGUUCCGCAUGGAAGGGCCAUCGCUCAAAGGAUAAAAGGUACGCCGGGGAUAACAGGCUGAUCUCCCCCAAGAGCUCAUAUCGACGGGGGGGUUUGGCACCUCGAUGUCGGCUCGUCACAUCCUGGGGCUGGAGAAGGUCCCAAGGGUUGGGCUGUUCGCCCAUUAAAGUGGCACGCGAGCUGGGUUCAGAACGUCGUGAGACAGUUUGGUCUCUAUCUACUGUGGGCGUUAGAAAUUUGAGUGGAUCUGAUUCUAGUACGAGAGGACCGAAUUGGACAAACCUCUAGUGUAUCUGCUGUCCCGCCAGGGGCACCGCAGAGUAGCUACGUUUGGAAGGGAUAAGCGCAGAAAGCAUAUAAGCGCGAAACCCACCACAAGAUGAGAUUUCUUUUAAGGAUCGUGGAAGAUGACCACGUUGAUAGGCUAUAGAUGUAAAGGCAGUAAUGUCAUAGUCGAGUAGUACUAAUAAUCC